UACAGAGGGUGCUAGCGUUGUUCGGAAUCAUUGGGCGUAAAGGGCGUGUAGGCGGUUUGUUAAGUCAUGUGUGAAAUCCCUCGGCUCAACCGGGGAACGACGCAUGAAACUGGCAAGCUAGAGUACCAAAGAGGGGGGUGGAAUUCCCGGUGUAGCGGUGAAAUGCGUAGAUAUCAGGAGGAACACCUGUGGCGAAAGCGGCUCACUGGACCAUAACUGACGCUGAUGCACGAAGGCUAGGGGAGCAAACAGG
rnacentral:rRNA from 1 species